rnacentral:sRNA from 1 species
GCCGGGCGUGGUGGCGGGCGCCUGUAGUCCCAGCUACUCGAGAGGCUGAGGCAGGAGAAUGGCGUGAACCCGGGAGGCGGAGCUUGCAGUGAGCAGAGAUCGUGCCACUGCACUCCAGCCUGGGCGACACAGCAAGAUGCUGUCUCUAAAUAAAUAAAUAAAUAAAACGGAGUCUCGCUCUGUCACCCAGGCUGGAGUGCAGUGGUGUGAUCUCAGCUCACUGCAAUCUCCGCCUCCCAGGUUCCAGCAAUUCUCCUCCCUCAG